rnacentral:tRNA from 2 species
AAUAGCGCAGUGGUAGCGCGUCGGUCUCAUAUACCAAUUAUCCGAAAGUCGUGAGUUCAAUCCUCACUU